AUCCUUCAAGUGCCUGAUAACA
rnacentral:miRNA from 1 species